GCCAGGUGCGGUAGCGCAUGCCUGUAGUCCCAGCUACUCGGGAGGCUGAGGUGGGAGGAUCACUUGAGUCCAGGAGUUCUGGGCUGCAGUGUGCUAUGCCGAUCAGGUGCCCGCACUAAGUUCAGCAUCAAUAUGGUGACCUCCUGGGAGCAGGGGACCACCAGGUUGCCUAAGGAGGGGUGAACCAGCCCAAGUCAGAAACGGAGCAGGUCAAAACUCCCAUGCUGAUCAGUCAUGGGAUCGCACCUGUGAAUAGCCACUGUACUCCUGCCUGGGCAAUAUAGUGAGACCUCGUCUCU
rnacentral:SRP_RNA from 1 species